GAAGCAUUUCAAGGUCCUGGAGUGGCCUAGCCAGUCUCCAGAUCUCAACCCCAUAGAAAAUCUUUGGAAGGAGUUGAAAGUCCAUGUUGCCCAGCAACAGCCCCAAAACAUCACUGCUCUAGAGGAGAUCUGCAUGGAGGAAUGGGCCAAAAUACCAGCAACAGUGUGUGAAAACCUUGUGAAGACUUACAGAAAACGUUUGUCAUUGCCAACAAAGGGUAUAUAACAAAGUAUUGAGAAACUUUUGUUAUUGACCAAAUACUUAUUUUCCACCAUAAUUUGCAAAUAAAAUCAUUAAAAAAUCCUACAAUGUGAUUUCCUGGAUUUUCCCCCCUCAUUUUGUCUGUCAUAGUUGGAAUGUACCUAUGAUGAAAAGUACAGGACUCUCAUCUUUUUAAGUGGGAGAACUUGCACAAUUGGUGACUGGCUAAAUACUUUUUUGCCCCACUGUAUCUAAUAUCAUUAUGUGUUGGGGUCAGAUAUAUAAUAUCAUUGUGUGUUGGGGUCAGAUAUAUAAUAUCAUUAUGUUGGGGUCAGAUAUAUAAUAUCAUUGUGUUGGGGUCAGAUAUAUAAUAUCAUUGUGUUGGGGUCAGAUAUAUAAUAUCAUCAUGUGUUGGGGUCAGAUAUAUAAUAUCAUCAUGUGUUGGGGUCAGAUAUAUAAUAUCAUCAUGUGUUGGGGUCAGAUAUAUAAUAUCAUCAUGUGUUGGGGUCAGAUAUAUAAUAUCAUCAUGUGUUGGGGUCAGAUAUAUAAUAUCAUCAUGUGUUGGGGUCAGAUAUAUAAUAUCAUUGUGUUGGGGUCAGAUAUAUAAUAUCAUUGUGUUGGGGUCAGAUAUAUAAUAUCAUCAUCAUGUGUUGGGGUCAGAUAUAAAAUAUAAUUGUUUGUGGAGGUCAGAUAUAUAAUAUCAUUGUGUUGGGGUCAGAUAUAUAAUAUCAUCAUCAUGUGUUGGGGUCAGAUAUAUAAUAUCAUUGUGUGUUGGGGUCAGAUAUAUAAUAUCAUAAUGUGUUGGGGUCAGAUAUAUAAUAUCAUUGUGUUGGGGUCAGAUAUAUAAUAUCAUCAUGUGUUGGGGUCAGAUAUAUAAUAUCAUUGUGUUGGGGUCAGAUAUAUAAUAUCAUCAUGUGUUGGGGUCAGAUAUAUAAUAUCAUCAUGUGUUGGGGUCAGAUAUAUAAUAUAAUUAUGUGUUGGGGUCAGAUAUAUAAUAUAAUUAUGUGUUGGGGUCAGAUAUAUAAUAUCAUCAUGUGUUGGGGUCAGAUAUAUAAUAUCAUUGUGUUGGGGUCAGAUAUAUAAUAUCAUUGUGUUGGGGUCAGAUAUAUAAUAUCAUCAUGUGUUGGGGUCAGAUAUAUAAUAUCAUUGUGUUGGGGUCAGAUAUAUAAUAUCAUCAUGUGUUGGGGUCAGAUAUAUAAUAUCAUCAUGUGUUGGGGUCAGAUAUAUAAUAUCAUCAUGUGUUGGGGUCAGAUAUAUAAUAUCAUUGUGUUGGGGUCAGAUAUAUAAUAUCAUCAUGUGUUGGGGUCAGAUAUAUAAUAUCAUUGUGUUGGGGUCAGAUAUAUAAUAUCAUCAUGUGUUGGGGUCAGAUAUAUAAUAUCAUCAUGUGUUGGGGUCAGAUAUAUAAUAUCAUUGUGUUGAGGUCAGAUAUAUAAUAUCAUCAUGUGUUGGGGUCAGAUAUAUAAUAUCAUUGUGUUGGGGUCAGAUAUAUAAUAUCAUUGUGUUGAGGUCAGAUAUAUAAUAUCAUUGUGUUGGGGUCAGAUAUAUAAUAUCAUCAUGUGUUGGGGUCAGAUAUAUAAUAUUAUGUGUUGGGGUCAGAUAUAUAAUAUCAUCAUGUGUUGGGGUCAGAUAUAUAAUAUUAUGUGUUGGGGUCAGAUAUAUAAUAUCAUCAUGUGUUGGGGUCAGAUAUAUAAUAUUAUGUGUUGGGGUCAGAUAUAUAAUAUCAUCAUGUGUUGGGGUCAGAUAUAUAAUGUAUUUUUGAAUAUUUGUAUUCGGUACAGGUUUCCAUAUUUUCACUGUCAUUUAGGUUAGUAUUAUGGAGUAACUACAAUGUUGUUGAUCCAUCUUCAGUUGUCUCCUUUCAUAGCCAUUAAAACUUUGCUUUAAAGUCCCUAUUGGCCUCAUGGUGAAAUCCCUGAGCGGUUUCCCUCUCCGGAAACUGAGUUAGGAAGGAUGCCUGUAUCUGUGUAGUGACUGGGUGUAUAGAUACACUGAGUUAGGAAGGAUGCCUGUAUCUUUGUAGUGACUGGGUGUAUUGAUACACUGAGUUAGGAAGGAUGCCUGUAUCUGUGUAGUGACUGGGUGUAUUGAUACACUGAGUUAGGAAGGAUGCCUGUAUCUUUGUAGUGACUGGGUGUAUUGAUACACUGAGUUAGGAAGGAUGCCUGUAUCUUUGUAGUGACUGGGUGUAUUGAUACACUGAGUUAGGAAGGAUGCCUGUCUCUUUGUAGUGACUGGGUGUAUUGAUACACUGAGUUAGGAAGGAUGCCUGUAUCUGUGUAGUGACUGGGUGUAUAGAGUACCACGGUAUGAGUCAUAAUACCCAUGAAACCUAGCAGUCAAACAGGGCAAUAGUUCCAAUUGUUUUUCAACCAUUAACUGGGCCCAUAGCCCUUAUUUUAAGUGUUUCUAAAAAUCCUCUUUGUUUCGCGUAGGCUUACCCUACGUGACGUUUUAAUCUCUCUACGACAAGCGGACUUUGUCAGUACAUUCACCUUUAUUCACCCCCCCCAAAAUGAAACACUAAUUAGCUGCUAAUGUGGCUAUCAUAAAGAACUACAAAUGCCAUGAUGAUCUGGAUGAGAGACUGACGAAUCGAGGCAAAGAAUCUCUGGAUUAACGAUCUAAUGUUAGCUAAAUGUAGCAAUGAAUAAUUGGCUACAUUUCUUUCAAUGGACAAUUCUGUGAACUGUGCAAGUUUUAAAUAAUACCUGUAGGCAAAGGUGUCAGAGGUGACGUGCAGGUGCUGGCAGGGAUUUGUAGUCUUGCAUGACGUCUACUUUCAUUCUAAUUAGCAUUUUAGAAUCUGAGAGAGAAUAGAGCUGAAUAUAUUGAUAAAAGUCACCUUGCCCUAGAGAGAUUUACAUGGCUAUCAAAACGUCACGCCAGGGUAAGCCUACACGAAACAGACCUUAUUUGAAUUCAUUGUUAAAGCCCCUAUGGGAGGAAUGAAUGGCGGAAAAACGAUUGGUACCAUUUCCCUGUUUGACCACUAGGGUAUUAUAACACCUACACUAUGGGGCUCUAUUGAUAUAACAACCAAAGUGUAAUUAAUAACUUAACCAUGCUCAAAAGGGAUAUUCAAUGUCUGACUUUUUAAUGGAAUGUUUUAACCAUCUACCCUUCUUUGUGAGGCAUUGGAAAACCUCCCUGGUCUUUGUGGUUGAAUCUGUUUGAAAUUCACUGUUGGACUGAGGGACCUUACAGAUAAUUGUAUGUGUGGGGUACAGAGAUGAGGGACCUU